rnacentral:rRNA from 1 species
UACGUAGGGGGCAAGCGUUGUCCGGAAUCAUUGGGCGUAAAGAGCGUGUAGGCGGCCCGGUAAGUCCGCUGUGAAAGUCCAGGGCUCAACCCUGGGAUGCCGGUGGAUACUGUCGGGCUCGAGUCCGGAAGAGGAGUGUGGAAUUCCUGGUGUAGCGGUGAAAUGCGCAGAUAUCAGGAGGAACACCAAUGGCGAAGGCAGCACUCUGGGACGUGACUGACGCUGAGACGCGAAAGCGUGGGGAGCAAACAGGAU